GGGCUGGGCUCAGGUGGGUGAUUCUUUUGGACUAAUUCAUGUGGCUGCAAUUGGAGCUGGAUGAUCUAAAUGGUCUCACUCCUAGGUCUGGCUGUUGAUGUUGGCUGUUGGCUGAGCCAGGGGCCGCCAGCAGGCUAGCAUGGGCUCUUCACUCAGCAGCAGGGUUCCCCAAGAGGACAAGCCCAACACACAUGUGCUUUUCAAGCCUGUGAUUAUCAGGCUUGAAAUACUGCAACAUCUGCUGCAAUCAGUAACAACCACAUAAGAAAGCAAUGACAAGUUAUGAUUACUGCUCUGGAGGGAGUGAGCAGGAUGCUGUGAGAGAGGGUUACUAUUCCAAGUGGCACCUGGGCCAGCAGCAUUGGCAUCACCUGGGACUUGUGAGAAAUCCAGCAUCUCAGGCUCCACUGCAGGUCUCCUAAAUCAGAAUCUACAGUUUAACAAGAUCCCCAGCAGAUGUGUGUGUAAGCUCAAGAACCUGUUGAGAGGAGCACCUAGCAUAAGACCUGGCUUGUGACAGCUGCUCGUGGCAUGCCCUUCUCCACUAAGCCAACUUGUUAAACCUCUUCACGGCUGAGAUCAUGCUGCUUUCUUCUUCAGAUCUGCCACCCUCUAGCUGGGUGACUUUUAGACAAGUGAUCGACCUCUCUGAGCCAGAGUUUCUACCUUGUAAAAAAAAAAAAAUCCCUUCCUGCAUGGUCAGCUGUCAUGAAAAGGACACAUGGUGAUGGGCAGACAAAGACAAGGCUUAGCUUCGUGUUUGACUCCUAGGAGCGCCCAGUUCAUGGAGGCUGCUGCUGUCACUAAUCUGUUUCCAUCUUCCCCUGGGAAUCCUGAGGUUUAUCUGUGAGCCUUUGGACUGCUGUAUGGACAACAUACUCUGCAGUAGCAUGAAGAAGUGAGUGAAGACCCUCCCUUGAACCGUUUGCCCUGAAAGAACAGAAGUCACAUCUUGAUAUCUCAGUGCCUUUACAGUGCCAGGGAUGGGGUAGGUGCUGAGCGCCUGGUAUGUGCUCACCCUAUGCUGUACAACACACAGAAAGCCCCACAGGGUUUGAACUGUAAUUAGGUAGAGGGUGUGUGGGACUCGCCUUGGGUCUCUGACUUUGGCUUCUGCUCCCGGCCUUGGAUAGGCUGAUAUUUUCUAGUAGAUAUCAGAGACUCCGGUUGAUAGCACCACAAUGGCUUUUCUCCCAACUUUUUGUUUUACGUAUUAUCAAGCCAACAGAGAAGUUGCAAGAAUAGCACAAUGAACAUGCAUAUACCCUUCACCUGGAUUCACCACUUUUGUUUCAUUUCUCUCAGUAUAUAUGUUUGUGUGUGUUGGAGACAUAUGACAUUUUACCUCGAAACCAGGCAUCUCCUAGGAAAAAGAGCAGCCUCCCAUAUAACAACAAUACAAUGAUAACCCUUAAAAAACUUUGCAUUAAUAAAUCCCAUUAGUUAAUAUACCAUUCUUAGUUCCUUUUC
rnacentral:lncRNA from 1 species